UGUACAAUGAUCUCUUCCGAACAGAUUAGGGUUUCACAACAAACAGCUUCGAAUUAGAUAUGUCCUGUCCCUAUUAGGGUUUCAUUAUAAUUUUGACGAUCCCUUCGUGACGGAUUAGGUUUUCAUCAUAAAUUUGAUGAUUUGGUGACGUAUUAGGGUUUCAUUAAAUUUAAUGAUCCCUUCGUGACGGAUUAGUGUUUUACUGUAAUAGAUUUGAUGAUUCUGUGACGGACUAGAUUUUCAUUAUAAAUUUAGUGAUCCCUUCUUUUAAUUAAGGGAUAGAGUUUCAUUUCAUACAUCUUGGAAUCAUACAAUCCCUUGAAUGAAAGGUAAGGGGAAGAUUCAGUGAGGCUAUGACAGGGAUCCUUGCAGUAUGAGGGGCGUGAGGCAUUGGAGGUUAGGUAAAAUUAGGUUGGAUGACGAUCUUUUUAAUUUUACCGAUCCCUCCAAAGCCUAUACUCCUUCCUGCACAACCCUGUCUUUCCUUCACGGUGCCAUCCUACUCUGCUAAUACACGUGGUCCCAUGUAAGGGGGCUUCUCUGUUGGUGCGAAGGGAACUUUGGGGCCUUCUAUCAAGGAAGCUACGAACACAGUUGCAGCAAUAUGUCUAAAUAGGUGUUGGGCAUUGAAUCAGCCCUCCAAUUCUUAUAAACUACUGAAUUGAACGGUCUUUAAUUUCUCCCACAUAGUAUGGUAUGAAUGAUAUCUCUUUUGUUUUUUCUCUACAAUUUGGGUAAUUACAAUGUAAUAUGUUGUAUCGUUUUGUCUUAAUUGUUGAUCCUUCAUCAUAAGUUGAUCAAGAAAUUUGUCUGAUCAAUUGAUCAUGAACUGAUCCUUAAUUGAUUAGUUGAAUUGAUCCUUAAUAAAUCAGUUGAUUCUAUAACUCAUCCUUAAUUGAUUAGUUGAAUUGAUCCUUGAUUGAUCAGUUGAUUCUUAAUCAUGUGAUUAAGUAUUCUCUCUGUCUGAUCAGUUGAUUCUUAAUUGAGUGAUACAAAAUUUAGUUGUAUGAAUCGAUCGAGUUUUGUUUGCUUUCUCCAUUUUGUUCUCCAUUUAUUAAAGCUCAUGACUUUUGUCUGCCUGAGUAAAAGGCAGCAAUGUUAGAAGUGGUAAGACACCUUCAUUGCAUCGAAAUCAUUAAAGGGUCUAUAUAUAUUAUGUUAUAUUGUGUAAAUAACUAGCAUGCUGAUAGGAAAUUAUAGAUGAAAUAUAUAUAAAUGUGAUGAAUAUAUAAAUGUGUAAGUUGAAUAGAGAAAAAUGUAAAUUCUAGCAUUGUAGAAGACAAUUCCAUAUAUGGAGGAAUAUUGGGUAGAUUUAAAAUCUAGAUAAAAGAAAAACACAUCAUGAAUGCAUUGAACUCUUUUGUUUGCCCAUGCGUUGGAAGGUGAAGAGUUUUAAAAAUGUCAAGUAAAGAAAUUGAGGGUGCCAUAUGGUUUUUGGAAGACCAAGAGUUUUGGAUUGCAAAGGUAAAAUAAAUUUGAAAACAAAUUAUAGUGCUGGGAGUAGCAUGUUAAGCGCAACAGAAGCAAGAGGGACACUGUGGAUUUGAUGGGAAAAAGACUACGAAGAAAAAAGGAAACAUUUCAUUUUUCAUUUUAAAAAAUAGAGCCCUGGGACAGAGAAUUGAAAAUUAACGCUGCGUAGAGAAACAAAGAAAGAAAAGAAUCAGAUUUGGGAGUGGUAGAAGACAGAGAAUGAGACAUAAGAAACAGAUGUUUCAAAUUUUCAAGAAUUUAAUUUGUAGAUGUAUAAAGAAGAGAAUUGAAUUGAAUGUGACAGGCACGAUAGCAAGGGGCAGAGUAGUUUGAAGUAAAGUUUCUGCAAAAGUAGACAAAUUGUUGAGGAAAGCAUAAAACUAAGAAGUAGCUGCAAAGAAGCUAAAGUGAGGAAAUAGAAGUUUAGAAUUGUUUUGAAAACAAAGACGGGGCAUAUAAAAAGAGUUUAUUUAUGUAAUUUGAAUAUACAUAUUUUUCGGUUUCAGUAUUCA